rnacentral:rRNA from 1 species
GAUGAACGCUGGCGGCGUGCCUAAUACAUGCAAGUCGAGCGAACAGACGAGGAGCUUGCUCCUCUGACGUUAGCGGCGGACGUGUGAGUAACACGUGGAUAACCUACCUAUAAGACUGGGAUAACUUCGGGAAACCGGAGCUAAUACCGGAUAAUAUAUUGAACCGCAUGGUUCAAUAGAGAAAGACGGUUUUGCUGUCACUUAUAGAUGUAUCCGCGCCGCAUUAGCUAGUUGGUAAGGUAACGGCUUACCAAGGCAACGAUGCGUAGCCGACCUGAGAGGGUGAUCGGCCACACUGGAACUGAGACACGGUCCAGACUCCUACGGGAGGCAGCAGUAGGGAAUCUUCCGCAAUGGGCGAAAGCCUGACGGAGCAACGCCGCGUGAGUGAUGAAGGUCUUCGGAUCGUAAAACUCUGUUAUUAGGGAAGAACAAAUGUGUAAGUAACUAUGCACGUCUUGACGGUACCUAAUCAGAAAGCCACGGCUAACUACGUG